rnacentral:lncRNA from 1 species
UAGACACCCAGAAAUCACACAAAUACACGAGGCUAUGAUGCUAGAAUAAUUACUUUGGCUUUUAUUAUUCCCCACAGAGCAUAGCAAGUCAAAACAAUCAACUACAUAGGUGAAGCAUUCAAAUCACUCUUACCGCUGAUAUGGGAGAUGGGAAGUCAACAUAACCCCGUCCUCCCCCAGCAUUUGUUGAUAGAAGAGAAAGAUCUCUGCAACCAGGAGAGAAACUUCAGAGUGGAACAGAAUGAUCCAGAACCCAAGCAGACUAAAGAGGAAGAGGAGGAGCCAGAACUUCUGCAAAGAGAAGAGGAGCAGGAAGAACAAGAACCUCAACAGAUUGAAAAGGAACACGGAGAACCAAAUCCUCCACAGUUUAAAGUGGAGCAGGAGGAACCACAAACUCUACAGAUUAAGGAGAUUUAUACCUUGAUGGAGAUUCCUACUUUGGAGGAACAUGUUGACAGUGAAGCAGAUGGAAACAUUCUGCAGUGCUUGAAUGUAACUGAUAGUCAGGAUGAAGAAGGAAACCAACAUGAAGAAUCAACAUCAACUCCAGAUGAAGAGAAAGAGAAAAUGAACAGAGAUCAGAGGAAGAGAAGAGACAGAAGUCAUGUCCAAAGUGUGGCCAGCUCUCACAUGUCAGAAGGUCAGUGUGACUCUGAUGUCAGAAAAAAGUUCAAGAUAGCAACUUUGGUUAAGAGACACAAACAAUCCCCAAAAGAAAAGAGACUUCCCAUAUAAAUUCUGGUAAAG